GGAAUGUUCUGAGAAGAAACCUGAGGAGGCUCUGCCCUCUCUCCAGGGUGAAGCCGGCCCCACUGGUGCCCGUGGUCCUGAAGGUGCUCAAGGUCCUCGCGGUGAACCUGGUACUCCUGGGUCCCCUGGGCCUGCUGGUGCCUCCGGUAACCCUGGAACAGAUGGAAUUCCUGGAGCCAAAGGAUCUGCUGGUGCUCCUGGCAUUGCUGGUGCUCCUGGCUUUCCUGGGCCACGGGGCCCUCCUGGCCCUCAAGGUGCAACUGGUCCUCUGGGCCCGAAAGGUCAGACGGGUGAACCUGGUAUUGCUGGCUUCAAAGGUGAACAAGGCCCCAAGGGAGAACCUGGCCCUGCUGGCCCCCAGGGAGCCCCUGGACCCGCUGGUGAAGAAGGCAAGAGAGGUGCCCGUGGAGAGCCUGGUGGCGUUGGGCCCAUCGGUCCCCCUGGAGAAAGAGGUGCUCCCGGCAACCGCGGUUUCCCAGGUCAAGAUGGUCUGGCAGGUCCCAAGGGAGCCCCUGGAGAGCGAGGGCCCAGUGGUCUUGCUGGCCCCAAGGGAGCCAACGGUGACCCUGGCCGUCCUGGAGAACCUGGCCUUCCUGGAGCCCGGGGUCUCACUGGCCGCCCUGGUGAUGCUGGUCCUCAAGGCAAAGUUGGCCCUUCUGGAGCCCCUGGUGAAGACGGUCGUCCUGGACCUCCAGGUCCUCAGGGGGCUCGUGGGCAGCCUGGUGUCAUGGGUUUCCCUGGCCCCAAAGGUGCCAACGGCGAGCCUGGCAAAGCUGGUGAGAAGGGACUGCCUGGUGCUCCUGGUCUGAGGGGUCUUCCUGGCAAAGAUGGUGAGACAGGUGCUGCAGGACCCCCUGGCCCUGCUGGACCUGCUGGUGAACGAGGCGAGCAGGGUGCUCCUGGGCCAUCUGGGUUCCAGGGACUUCCUGGCCCUCCUGGUCCCCCAGGUGAAGGUGGAAAACCAGGUGACCAGGGUGUUCCCGGUGAAGCUGGAGCCCCUGGCCUCGUGGGUCCCAGGGGUGAACGAGGUUUCCCAGGUGAACGUGGCUCUCCCGGUGCCCAGGGCCUCCAGGGUCCCCGUGGCCUCCCCGGCACUCCUGGCACUGAUGGUCCCAAAGGUGCAUCUGGCCCAGCAGGCCCCCCUGGGGCUCAGGGCCCUCCAGGUCUUCAGGGAAUGCCUGGCGAGAGGGGAGCAGCUGGUAUCGCUGGGCCCAAAGGCGACAGGGGUGACGUUGGUGAGAAAGGCCCUGAGGGAGCCCCUGGAAAGGAUGGUGGACGAGUAAGUGAAUGCGGGCUGCUGGACUGCUGGGCAUUAGGAUCCUAGCCCUGCACCCAGGAGAGCAGGAGAGAGGGCUGGGCAGUCUGCCACUGGGGUCCCUGGUCCUGUCUCUGUCGGGGCUGGGCAACUGCAGGGACUUCUCUGUUAAAAUGGGGCCAGAGGGGCCUGACAGGUCCCAUUGGCCCCCCUGGCCCAGCUGGUGCUAACGGCGAGAAGGGAGAAGUUGGACCUCCUGGUCCUGCAGGAAGUGCUGGUGCUCGUGGCGCUCCGGGUGAACGUGGAGAGACUGGGCCCCCCGGACCAGCGGGAUUUGCUGGGCCUCCUGGUGCUGAUGGCCAGCCUGGGGCCAAGGGUGAGCAAGGAGAGGCCGGCCAGAAAGGCGAUGCUGGUGCCCCUGGUCCUCAGGGCCCCUCUGGAGCACCUGGGCCUCAGGGUCCUACUGGAGUGACUGGUCCUAAAGGAGCCCGAGGUGCCCAAGGCCCCCCGGGAGCCACUGGAUUCCCUGGAGCUGCUGGCCGCGUUGGACCCCCAGGCUCCAAUGGCAACCCUGGACCCCCUGGUCCCCCUGGUCCUUCUGGAAAAGAUGGUCCCAAAGGUGCUCGAGGAGACAGCGGUCCCCCUGGCCGAGCUGGUGAACCCGGCCUCCAAGGUCCUGCUGGACCCCCUGGCGAGAAGGGAGAGCCUGGAGAUGACGGUCCCUCUGGUGCUGAAGGUCCACCAGGUCCCCAGGGUCUGGCUGGUCAGAGAGGCAUCGUCGGUCUGCCUGGGCAACGUGGUGAGAGAGGAUUCCCUGGCUUGCCUGGCCCAUCGGGUGAGCCCGGCAAGCAGGGUGCUCCUGGAGCAUCUGGAGACAGAGGUCCUCCUGGCCCCGUGGGUCCUCCUGGCCUGACAGGUCCUGCAGGUGAACCUGGACGAGAGGGAAGCCCUGGUGCUGAUGGCCCCCCUGGCAGAGAUGGCGCGGCUGGAGUCAAGGGUGAUCGUGGUGAGACUGGUGCUGUGGGAGCUCCUGGAGCCCCUGGGCCCCCUGGCUCCCCUGGCCCCGCUGGUCCAACUGGCAAGCAAGGAGACAGAGGAGAAGCUGGUGCACAAGGCCCCAUGGGACCCUCAGGACCAGCUGGAGCCCGGGGAAUCCAGGGUCCUCAAGGCCCCAGAGGUGACAAAGGAGAGGCUGGAGAGCCUGGCGAGAGAGGCCUGAAGGGACACCGUGGCUUCACUGGUCUGCAGGGUCUGCCCGGCCCUCCUGGUCCUUCUGGAGACCAAGGUGCUUCUGGUCCUGCUGGUCCUUCUGGCCCUAGAGGUCCUCCUGGCCCCGUCGGUCCCUCUGGCAAAGAUGGUGCUAAUGGAAUCCCUGGCCCCAUUGGGCCUCCUGGUCCCCGUGGACGAUCAGGCGAAACCGGCCCUGCUGGUCCUCCUGGAAAUCCUGGACCCCCUGGUCCUCCAGGUCCCCCCGGCCCUGGCAUCGACAUGUCCGCCUUUGCUGGCUUAGGCCCGAGAGAGAAGGGCCCCGACCCCCUGCAGUACAUGCGGGCCGACCAGGCAGCCGGUGGCCUGAGACAGCAUGACGCCGAGGUGGAUGCCACACUCAAGUCCCUCAACAAUCAGAUUGAGAGCAUCCGCAGCCCCGAGGGCUCCCGCAAGAACCCUGCUCGCACCUGCAGAGACCUGAAACUCUGCCACCCUGAGUGGAAGAGUGGAGACUACUGGAUUGACCCCAACCAAGGCUGCACCUUGGACGCCAUGAAGGUUUUCUGCAACAUGGAGACUGGCGAGACUUGCGUCUACCCCAACCCAGCAAACGUUCCCAAGAAGAACUGGUGGAGCAGCAAGAGCAAGGAGAAGAAACACAUCUGGUUUGGAGAAACCAUCAAUGGUGGCUUCCAUUUCAGCUAUGGAGAUGACAAUCUGGCUCCCAACACUGCCAACGUCCAGAUGACCUUCCUACGCCUGCUGUCCACGGAAGGCUCCCAGAACAUCACCUACCACUGCAAGAACAGCAUUGCCUAUCUGGACGAAGCAGCUGGCAACCUCAAGAAGGCCCUGCUCAUCCAGGGCUCCAAUGACGUGGAGAUCCGGGCAGAGGGCAAUAGCAGGUUCACGUACACUGCCCUGAAGGAUGGCUGCACGAAACACACCGGUAAGUGGGGCAAGACUGUUAUCGAGUACCGGUCACAGAAGACCUCACGCCUCCCCAUCAUUGACAUUGCACCCAUGGACAUAGGAGGGCCCGAGCAGGAAUUCGGUGUGGACAUAGGGCCGGUCUGCUUCUUGUAAAAACCUGAACCCAGAAACAACACAAUCCGUUGCAAACCCAAAGGACCCAAGUACUUUCCAAUCUCAGUCACUCUAGGACUCUGCACUGAAUGGCUGACCUGACCUGAUGUCCAUUCAUCCCACCCUCUCACAGUUCGGACUUUUCUCCCCUCUCUUUCUAAGAGACCUGAACUGGGCAGACUGCAAAAUAAAAUCUCGGUGUUCUA
rnacentral:sRNA from 1 species